rnacentral:lncRNA from 1 species
UGAACAUUUAUUCGGAUAUUCAAUUUUGAUAUGUUGGCCAUUUAUUUUGGGUCAUAAAACAUAGGUAGAUGUGUUAUAUAAUUAUGUUACCUGUAACAAUCAAUCAGGGUUGAAGGUUUGCUUUAAAAUUGACAUUUCACCUUUUAUUGAAAAUUUAGAAUAAAAUAUUGUUUUACUCUGUCAAUUUAUUAUUAUUAUUUUUUUUGCCUUUAAUUUUUAUUUUUUUUUUUCAUUUUUGUAUGG